AGUAAUGCUUGGGAAGUCUGGCUUAUGGAGGGGGAUAACUACGGGAAACUGUAGCUAAUACCGCGUAAUAUCGAAAGAUUAAAGUGUGGGACCUUCGGGCCACAUGCCAUAGGAUGAGCCCAAGUGGGAUUAGGUAGUUGGUGAGGUAAAGGCUCACCAAGCCGACGAUCUCUAGCUGGUCUGAGAGGAUGACCAGCCACACUGGGACUGAGACACGGCCCAG
rnacentral:rRNA from 1 species